AUGGCGUCGGUGCAUCUAUGCGGCCCCAAGGUGGCGUCCGCGGCGAUGGCGAAGCCAGCGUUGGCGGACGGGCUCCGUGUCCCCCCUUCGUCGUCGGCGCGUCCCGUGCCGACGGGGCGGAGGUUCCGGGGCCUCGUCGUCAGGGCCGCCACGGUCGUGUCCCCCAAGUAUACUUCUGUGAAACCAUUGGGAGAUAGGGUACUAGUGAAGACCAAGACUACUGAGGAUAAAACUGCUGGAGGGAUAUUGCUUCCAACAACAGCUCAGUCAAGACCACAAGCAGGGGAGGUUGUUGCAGUUGGAGAGGGGAGAAGCUUAGGCAGCAACAUCGUCGAGAUCAGUGUUCCGGUUGGUGCCAAAGUUAUUUACUCUAAAUACGCUGGUACCGAGUUGGAAUUCAAUGAUACCACCCACCUCAUUAUGAAAGAAGAUGACAUCAUUGGUAUUCUUGACACUGAUGACGUGAAAGAUCUGAAGCCACUGAGUGACCGUAUUCUCAUUAAGGUUGCAGAGUCUGAAGAGGAAACUGCUGGCGGUUUGCUAUUGACACAGGCGUCGAAAGAGAAGCCUUCUGUUGGAACAGUGGUCGCUGUUGGCCCUGGGGGUUUGGGCGAUGAUGGCAGCAGGACGCCCUUGUCAAUCACUCCUGGGAGCAGCGUGCUGUACUCCAAGUAUGCGGGAAGCGAGUUCAAGGGUUCGGAAGGCGAGUACAUCGUUCUCAGGUCAUCCGACGUGAUAGCUGUGCUGUCAUCGUAA
rnacentral:rRNA from 1 species